rnacentral:rRNA from 1 species
GUAGGUGGCAAGCGUUGUCCGGAAUUAUUGGGCGUAAAGCGCGCGCAGGCGGUUCUUUAAGUCUGAUGUGAAAGCCCACGGGCUCAACCGUGGAGGGUCAUUGGAAACUGGAGAACUUGAGUACAGAAGAGGAAAGCGGAAUUCCACGUGUAGCGGUGAAAUGCGUAGAGAUGUGGAGGAACACCAGUGGCGAAGGCGGCUUUCUGGUCUGUAACUGACGCUGAGGCGCGAAAGCGUGGGGAGCAAACAGGAUUAGAUACCCUUGUAGUCCACGCCGUAAACGAUGAGUGCUAAGUGUUAGGGGGUUUCCGCCCCUUAGUGCUGCAGCUAACGCAUUAAGCACUCCGCCUGGGGAGUACGGCCGCAAAGGCUG